AAGCGGCAGGAGAGGGCGUGAAAACAGCACACGUUUUGAGAACUUUGACACUUCAUCGCGGGUUUGAUUCAUAUGUAAAGAACCACAAAGAUGAAUUUCAUGAGAAAGAGUAAGUUCCGGCAUGUCUUCGGCAAGGCUCUGAAGCGCGACCAGUGCUACGACUGUAUAAAAACUACUAAACAGUCAUGGGACCGUCCGUUCGCAGCCGCCAACCCAAAAUUCUUGGCUGUAAUCACGGAGUCUGCUGGUGGUGGGACUUUCCUCGUCCUGCCCCUAUCAAAGGUUGGUCGUGUGGA